rnacentral:rRNA from 1 species
AGUGGGAAAUUGCCAAUGGGCGCAAGCCUGAUGCAGCAACGCCGCGUGAGGGAUGAAGGCCUUCGGGUUGUAAACCUCUUUUAGCAGGGAAGAAGCGAAAGUGACGGUACCUGCAGAAAAAGCACCGGCUAACUACGUGCCAGCAGCCGCGGUAAUA